rnacentral:rRNA from 1 species
AACGAACGCUGGCGGCAUGCCUAACACAUGCAAGUCGAACGGGAUCCUGGUUUCGGCCAGGUGAGAGUGGCGGACGGGUGAGUAACGCGUGGGAACCUGCCCAGUGGUGGGGGAUAACUGCGGGAAACUGCAGCUAAUACCGCAUGAGCCCGAGAGGGGAAAGAUUUAUCGCCAUUGGAGGGGCCCGCGUUCGAUUAGGUAGUUGGUGGGGUAACGGCCUACCAAGCCGACGAUCGAUAGCUGGUCUGAGAGGAUGAUCAGCCACACUGGGACUGAGAUACGGCCCAGACUCCUACGGGAGGCAGCAGUGGGGAAUAUUGGACAAUGGGGGCAACCCUGAUCCAGCAAUGCCGCGUGAGUGAUGAAGGCCUUCGGGUUGUAAAGCUCUUUUGCCAGGGACGAUGAUGACGGUACCUGGAGAAUAAGCCCCGGCUAACUUCGUGCCAGCCGCCGCGGUAAGAC